GAUUAUCUGCUAGAGAAUUCCAAAAGCUUAUUAGCUUAAAGAAAGAAUGCAAGAGGAACAUAAGAUCCAAAAUACAAUGACACACACAAGUCAUUCCCUCCUAAGAGAAGAUAAGCAGGAGAACAUGUCUGAUUGUUUCCAUUCGUAGUUUCUGCAUCUCAAUCAAUGCACCAGGAUGGAACAAAUUAUCAUAAAGACUACUUAGUACAAAAAUGCACAUGAAAUUAAAAUGCAGAAUCUCAGAUAUUUUUUACUUUCAUUCUGAGUGGCCCUAAGACUUGCAGAAACCUACUUUUUUGUUGUUGCUGUAUUUAAUAAAGUUCAAGUCUAAGUCAAUGACGAACCAAGCCAUUGCUUGGCAUGCAGAACUUACUACUCAUACAAUUUGCACUCCAAGAAAGAGAUUUACAGACCCAGGGAGAAAAAUUAAUCAAAGGUACACUUGUGAAUAACAUCCACUGAGUACAGUCGUAUAGUAAAAUGUUGCCAUGUGCAGUCUGGUGGCUUACGACUCCCUCUCAACACCCACUCUUGUUUUUUCUCACGUAAAAUUCAAUUUCACGCUGGUAUGAUUCAUAAGCAUGACCAGUUUGCCAAGGCCAGGUCCUAACCUUAACAUUUCACUCAGUGAAUCCUUCAGUACUUAAUAAGAUUAAAUGACACUGCAUAUUAGAAUCUUAGUGCCUUAGCUUAGAUGCCAAAAGAAAGUCAAAAUGACUAUACAUUUUACUGCUUGGGAUGUGUUAACAGCCUGUGUUUUGUAUAGUGGAUAGAACAGGGGUGAUGCCUAUGCUGGAUUUAUUUUGGAGUCUGAGAACUUAAGGACACAUUAAAUAGAGCAUACAUUUAAAAAUAAGCACCACCUGAAAUUUCCAGUAUGUCAUCUCCACAAAGAGUGUGAUGCUGUGUAUUUGUGGUAGUCACAGCAAGGUUCCCUGGGGCUUUAACAAAUACUCCACAUAAUGGCAUUGAGUGGCCUAUGGUGACACAUACUAUGAAGAGAUGGCACUUUAAUCAAUAAUUCUUUAAAGAUGAGACUUCAAUCCAAAAUUUUGCGUUUAUAUUAACAAAAAAUAGCACUUGUCAAAAAGGAAACCCUCUAAAACCUAACUGGAGUUAUUUUUAUGAGUCAAAAGGCUGUGAAGUACUUUAAAAUAAAACCAAGUAUCCAGAUUCAGAUAACUCUGAAUAAGAUGACCAUGUUCAGAGCUAGUGCACUAAUAUGUAAAUAUAAACAUUUUAUUGUUUUGAAUACAGUAAUUUAUUACCCAGAAAAAUCUGUUUUUGUUUGCUCACAGAGUAAAUCUUGUUAUGAAAUAAAAGCCCACUAUGUAUUAAUUAUAUACUAACUAGUAUAGAAAUAGGUGAUAGAAAAGCAGUAAGAAAAAAAUGAACAACACAUGAUAAGUGUUACUUUUUCUGGCAAAACGUUCUCACAAAGUAUUUGAGCUGAGAUGUUCAAGCCAUAAAGAUAAUUUUUCUCUAAACAGAGUGUCUGUAAGAAUUUAGGAAAAAUUAUCUCAGAUAUUCCAGCAUCAAGACAAAGCCCAGAACUAAUAUUGCUAUGUAUAUGGAAGGGAAAAUGUCAUUUACUAUGCUUUAAAGCAACAAUGUGGGGAGCAAGGUGGAAAAACUCCCGUUUAUUUGUGCUCAGU